rnacentral:rRNA from 1 species
AGCUCUCCGAGUGGUGUGGAUGUUUAUUGGGCCUAAAGCAUCCGUAGCUGGCUAAGUUAGUCCCUUGUUAAAUCCACCGAAUUAAUCGUUGGAUUGCGGGGGAUACUGCUUGGCUAGGGGACGAGAGAGGCAGACGGUAUUUCCGGGGUAGGGGUGAAAUCCUAUAAUCCCGGGAAGACCACCAGUGGCGAAGGCUGUCUGCUAGAACGCGCCCGACGGUGAGGGAUGAAAGCUGGGGGAGCGAACC